rnacentral:rRNA from 1 species
AAACUGAAGAGUUUGAUCCUGGCUCAGAUUGAACGCUGGCGGUAUGCUUAACACAUGCAAGUCGAACGGCAGCACGAGGAGAGUUUACUCUCUUCGGUGGCGAGUGGCGGACGGGUGAGUAAUGCAUAGGAAUCUACCUUUUAGUCUAGGAUAACUACCCGAAAGGGUGGCUAAUACUGGAUGUGGACUACGGUUUAAAGCAGGGGAUCUUCGGACCUUGCGCUAAGAGAUGAGCCUAUGUGGGAUUAGCUAGUUGGUGAGGUAACGGCUCACCAAGGCGACGAUCUCUAGCUGGUUUGAGAGGAUGAUCAGCCACACUGGGACUGAGACACGGCCCAGACUC